GUAGGUGGCAAGCGUUAUCCGGAAUUAUUGGGCGUAAAGCGCGCGCAGGCGGUUUCUUAAGUCUGAUGUGAAAGCCCACGGCUCAACCGUGGAGGGUCAUUGGAAACUGGGGAACUUGAGUGCAGAAGAGAAAAGCGGAAUUCCACGUGUAGCGGUGAAAUGCGUAGAGAUGUGGAGGAACACCAGUGGCGAAGGCGGCUUUUUGGUCUGUAACUGACGCUGAGGCGCGAAAGCGUGGGGAGCAAACAGGGAUUAGAUACCCUGGUAGUCCACGCCGUAAACGAUGAGUGCUAAGUGUUAGAGGGUUUCCGCCCCUUAGUGCUGCAGCUAACGCAUUAAGCACUCCGCCUGGGGAGUACGGUCGCAAGACUG
rnacentral:rRNA from 1 species